GCAGUCGAGCGGUAGAGAGGUGCUUGCACCUCUUGAGAGCGGCGGACGGGUGAGUAAAGCCUAGGAAUCUGCCUGGUAGUGGGGGAUAACGCUCGGAAACGGACGCUAAUACCGCAUACGUCCUACGGGAGAAAGCAGGGGACCUUCGGGCCUUGCGCUAUCAGAUGAGCCUAGGUCGGAUUAGCUAGUUGGUGAGGUAAUGGCUCACCAAGGCGACGAUCCGUAACUGGUCUGAGAGGAUGAUCAGUCACACUGGAACUGAGACACGGUCCAGACUCCUACGGGAGGCAGCAGUGGGGAAUAUUGGACAAUGGGCGAAAGCCUGAUCCAGCCAUGCCGCGUGUGUGAAGAAGGUCUUCGGAUUGUAAAGCACUUUAAGUUGGGAGGAAGGGCAUUAACCUAAUACGUUAGUGUUUUGACGUUACCGACAGAAUAAGCACCGGCUAACUCUGUGCCAGCAGCCGCGGUAAUACAGAGGGUGCAAGCGUUAAUCGGAAUUACUGGGCGUAAAGCGCGCGUAGGUGGUUCGUUAAGUUGGAUGUGAAAUCCCCGGGCUCAACCUGGGAACUGCAUUCAAAACUGUCGAGCUAGAGUAUGGUAGAGGGUGGUGGAAUUUCCUGUGUAGCGGUGAAAUGCGUAGAUAUAGGAAGGAACACCAGUGGCGAAGGCGACCACCUGGACUGAUACUGACACUGAGGU
rnacentral:rRNA from 1 species